UGUGGGAUCAGUGGCGAACGGGUGAGUAACACGUGAGCAACCUGCCCCUGACUCUGGGAUAAGCGCUGGAAACGGCGUCUAAUACUGGAUACGAGUAGCGACCGCAUGGUCAGUUACUGGAAAGAUUUAUUGGUUGGGGAUGGGCUCGCGGCCUAUCAGCUUGUUGGUGAGGUAAUGGCUCACCAAGGCGUCGACGGGUAGCCGGCCUGAGAGGGUGACCGGCCACACUGGGACUGAGACACGGCCCAGACUCCUACGGGAGGCAGCAGUGGGGAAUAUUGCACAAUGGGCGCAAGCCUGAUGCAGCAACGCCGCGUGAGGGAUGACGGCCUUCGGGUUGUAAACCUCUUUUAGCAGGGAAGAAGCGAAAGUGACGGUACCUGCAGAAAAAGCGCCGGCUAACUACGUGCCAGCAGCCGCGGUAAUACGUAGGGCGCAAGCGUUAUCCGGAAUUAUUGGGCGUAAAGAGCUCGUAGGCGGUUUGUCGCGUCUGCUGUGAAAUCCGGAGGCUCAACCUCCGGCCUGCAGUGGGUACGGGCAGACUAGAGUGCGGUAGGGGAGAUUGGAAUUCCUGGUGUAGCGGUGGAAUGCGCAGAUAUCAGGAGGAACACCGAUGGCGAAGGCAGAUCUCUGGGCCGUAACUGACGCUGAGGAGCGAAAGGGUGGGGAGCAAACAGGCUUAGAUACCCUGGUAGUCCACCCCGUAAACGUUGGGAACUAGUUGUGGGGUCCAUUCCACGGAUUCCGUGACGCAGCUAACGCAUUAAGUUCCCCGCCUGGGGAGUACGGCCGCAAGGCUAAAACUCAAAGGAAUUGACGGGGACCCGCACAAGCGGCGGAGCAUGCGGAUUAAUUCGAUGCAACGCGAAGAACCCUUACCAAGGCUUGACAUAUACGAGAACGGGCCAGAAA
rnacentral:rRNA from 1 species